GACAGACCGAUGACCACCUCUACUGUCUUCGACUACAUGUUUAUACUGUACAGAGAACAGCUCAGGAAUACAAACAACCACAAGCCAGAACUACACCUGUUCUACCACAGCAAAAACAAAUAUGUCUACUCUGUUUCCUUCAUUUACCUGGGUCCCAGGUUAUCCAUGGCUGUGCUGCGGUCCGUGCUGGCCCUGUCUCUCGCUCUGGUGCUGGGUCUGGUGCUGAGUGUCUGCAGGUCAGUGUGUGGCAACCCAGGGGUACCCCAAGAACUGGACUACUACGGUUCCUCUCUGGAUCAACCGUCUGCUGGAGGAACCCUCUGUCCUCAGCCUGAGGGGCUGCAUGGACCGAGCAUGAUGCACAAUCGAGAGCAUCCUGUCGGACUGUAUCACCGCCUGGUACGGCAACUGCUCCACCCACAACCGCAAGGCUCUCCAGAGGGUAGUGAGGUCUGCACAACGCAUCACCAGGGGCAAACUACCUGCCCUCCAGGACAUCUACACCCGAUGUCACAGGAAGGCCAAAAAUAUCAUCAAGGACAACAACCACCUUAGCCACUGCCUGUUCACCCUGCUAUCAUCCAGAAGGCGAGGUCAGUACAGGUGCAUCAAAGCGGGGACCGAGAGACUGAAAAACAGCUUCUAUCUCAAGGCCAUCAGACUGUUAAACAGCCAUCACUAACAUUGAGUGGCUGCUUCCAACAUACUGACUCAUCUCUAGCCACUUUAAAAAUGAAAAAUUGAUGUAGUAAAUGUAUCACUAGUCACUUUAAAGAAUGGCACUUUAUAUCAUGUUUACAUACCCUACAUUACUCAUCUCAUAUGUAUAUACUGUACUCUAUACCAUCUACUGCAACUUGCUUAUGCUGUUCGUCCAUCG
ensembl:lncRNA